rnacentral:rRNA from 1 species
GCCUAACACAUGCAAGUCGAACGGUAACAGGAAGCAGCUUGCUGCUUUGCUGACGAGUGGCGGACGGGUGAGUAAUGUCUGGGAAACUGCCUGAUGGAGGGGGAUAACUACUGGAAACGGUAGCUAAUACCGCAUAACGUCUUCGGACCAAAGAGGGGGACCUUCGGGCCUCUUGCCAUCAGAUGUGCCCAGAUGGGAUUAGCUAGUAGGUGGGGUAAUGGCUCACCUAGGCGACGAUCCCUAGCUGGUCUGAGAGGAUGACCAGCCACACUGGAACUGAGACACGGUCCAGACUCCUACGGGAGGCAGCAGUGGGGAAUAUUGCACAAUGGGCGCAAGCCUGAUGCAGCCAUGCCGCGUGUAUGAAGAAGGCCUUCGGGUUGUAAAGUACUUUCAGCGAGGAGGAAGGCAUUAAGGUUAAUAACCUUAGUGAUUGACGUUACUCGCAGAAGAAGCACCGGCUAACUCCGUGCCAGCAGCCGCGGUAAUACGGAGGGUGCAAGCGUUAAUCGGAAUUACUGGGCGUAAAGCGCACGCAGGCGGUCUGUCAAGUCGGAUGUGAAAUCCCCGGGCUCAACCUGGGAACUGCAUUCGAAACUGACAGGCUAGAGUCUUGUAGAGGGGGGUAGAAUUCCAGGUGUAGCGGUGAAAUGCGUAGAGAUCUGGAGGAAUACCGGUGGCGAAGGCGGCCCCCUGGAC